rnacentral:rRNA from 1 species
CCUACGGGAGGCAGCAGUGGGGAAUAUUGGACAAUGGGCGCAAGCCUGAUCCAGCAAUGCCGCGUGGGUGAUGAAGGCCUUCGGGUUGUAAAGCCCUUUUGGCGGGGACGAUGAUGACGGUACCCGCCGAAUAAGCUCCGGCUAACUUCGUGCCAGCAGCCGCGGUAAUACGAAGGGAGCUAGCGUUGUUCGGAAUUACUGGGCGUAAAGGGCGCGUAGGCGGUUUCGAUAGUCAGGCGUGAAAUCCCCAGGCUCAACCUGGGAAUUGCGCUUGAUACUGCGAGACUUGAGUGAGGGAGAGGAUAGUGGAAUUCCCAGUGUAGAGGUGAAAUUCGUAGAUAUUGGGAAGAACACCAGUGGCGAAGGCGGCUAUCUGGACCUCAACUGACGCUGAGGCGCGAAAGCGUGGGGAGCAAACAGGAUUAGAUACCCUGGUAGUCCACGCUGUAAACGAUGUGUGCUAGACGUCGGGAAGCCUAGCUUCUCGGUGUCGCAGCUAACGCGAUAAGCACACCGCCUGGGGAGUACGGCCGCAAGGUUAAAACUCAAAGGAAUUGACGG